rnacentral:rRNA from 1 species
GGGGAAUAUUGGGCAAUGGGCGCAAGCCUGACCCAGCAACGCCGCGUGAGGGAAGAAGGCUUUCGGGUUGUAAACCUCUGCCCUUGGUGACGAAACAAAUGACGGUAGCCAAGGAGGAAGCCCCGGCUAACUACGUGCCAGCAGCCGCGGUAAUACGUAGGGGGCGAGCGUUGUCCGGAAUUACUGGGCGUAAAGGGUGCGUAGGUGGCCUUUUAAGUUGGAUGUGAAAUACCCGGGCUUAACUUGGGGGGUGCAUCUAAUACUGGAGGGCUAGAGUGCAGGAGAGGAAAGCGGAAUUCCUAGUGUAGCGGUGAAAUGCGUAGAUAUUAGGAGGAACACCAGUGGCGAAGGCGGCUUUCUGGACUGUAACUGACACUGAGGCACGAAAGCGUGGGGAGCAAAC